GUUGGGGACAUCAACUUUGGUUGCCAGUGGGUGGGGCCAGAACGCUGCGUAUGAAGUGCCACUGGGAGCGAGACCGGCCUCAAUGUCGGCAAUAGAGGCAGGCCCAGAGUAUUCCAUAUUGCUGCAGCAAUAUGAUACAGAGUGUGAUGCAUCCCAGAUAGAUACCAGCCAUGACGGCCAUGAUGACUACCUUCAUGAAUAUGUACACUUCCACGACAGGAGACAGAGCGGACCCGAAUGCCGACAGAAUGGACAGCAUUGAACACCACAACACUAUUCUCCUACGUCCGUACCUGUCACGCGGUCAGAGAAACUAUUGUUGAGCAUGGCAUUAAAAUAGAGAUAACAUAAAUCAUGUACCUUUUGAAACAUCUUUUAAACACUUCUACUGC